rnacentral:lncRNA from 1 species
UACACUACUUUAAUAAUUUAAAAAAAACUUAACAAUAUCAGAAUGUUUAGAAACGGAAGAACAUAAGUUUUGGGAAAUAUCCACCAAACAUGAUUAACACUCAUCAACUCCGUGUGCAUCCUUUUAGAAAUUACCACGAAAGAAUUCAUGGCAAGUUCAUAAUAGUAUCAAACUUAAGCCAAGAAUGAGCACCAGCUAACAACAUCUACACAAUCCCCAAAUGCCCAAUAUACAGGAUACUCA